rnacentral:ncRNA from 2 species
GUAGCAUCGUCGCGUCGCGGUUCGACCCCCUCCGGAGGGUCGUCGCAAGAGGGAACCAGGUGCGAGUCCUGGACUGCCCCGCAGCGGUAUGUGGGAACGAGCGCGUCACGAAAGCACUGGGCGGAUGUGCCUGGGAAGCGAACGCCAGUAGGUGCCUUGCACGAGGCGAGCCCACGAGUCCGAAGACCUGCCGUGACCGCAGGGCCCGU